UUCCGGUUGAUCCUGCCAGAGGCCACUGCUAUCGGGGUCCGAUUAAGCCAUGCGAGUCGAGAGGGGUAAAGCCCUCGGCGAACGGCUCAGUAACACGUGGAUAACCUACCCUCAGAUCUGGGAUAACUCCGGGAAACUGGAGAUAAUACCGGAUAAUCCGUGAACGCUGGAAUGCCUUACGGUUGAAAGCUUUAGCGUCUGAGGAUGGGUCUGCGGCCGAUUAGGUAGUUGCUGGGGUAACGUCCCAACAAGCCGAUAAUCGGUACGGGUUGUGAGAGCAAGAGCCCGGAGAUGGAUUCUGAGACACGAAUCCAGGUCCUACGGGGCGCAGCAGGCGCGAAAACUUUACACUGCGCGAAAGCGCGAUAAGGGGACCUCGAGUGCGUGCGCAAUGCGUACGCUUUUCAGAUGCCUAAAAAGCAUCUGGAAUAAGGGCCGGGCAAGACCGGUGCCAGCCGCCGCGGUAACACCGGCGGCUCAAGUGGUGGCCGCUAUUAUUGGGCUUAAAGGGUCCGUAGCCGGACCAGUUAGUCCCUUGGGAAAUCUUACGGCUUAACCGUAAGGCUGCCAAUGGAUACUGCUGGUCUUGGGACCGGGAGAGGUAAGAGGUACCUCAGGGGUAGGAGUGAAAUCCUGUAAUCCUUGAGGGACCGCCAGUGGCGAAGGCGUCUUACUAGAACGGGUCCGACGGUGAGGGACGAAAGCUAGGGGCACGAACCGGAUUAGAUACCCGGGUAGUCCUAGCCGUAAACGAUGCGAGCUAGGUGUCACGUGGAUUGCGAAUCCAUGUGGUGCCGAAGGGAAACCGUGAAGCUCGCCGCCUGGGAAGUACGGCCGCAAGGCUGAAACUUAAAGGAAUUGGCGGGGGAGCACCACAACGGGUGGAGCUGCGGUUUAAUUGGAUUCAACGCCGGA
rnacentral:rRNA from 1 species